rnacentral:lncRNA from 1 species
UUUUGGGGGUAUCUCACUAAGCUUUCGGGCUUAUAGUUGUGAUUUAAUGUUUUUCAGGUUCGUCAGGAGACCGUGGCAAGGCAAAGGCGUGAUCGUACCGCUCCUCAUGAUUGAAGGCUCCUCAUGACUGGUCCAGUCACACAGUAGACCCAAAGUGCAUGGUUGUUCUGUGUUCUGUUAUGAUAUGGCAUGUUGUGCGUGUAUGGUAUAUGUGGUUGGUAUUUUGGGGGUAUCUCACUAAGCUUUCGGGCUUACAGUUGUGGUUUAAUGUUUUUCAGGUUCUUCAGGAGACCGUGGCAAGGCAAAGGCGUGAUCGUACCGCUCCUCAUGAUUAUGUUUUAUGAUGUGGUUCUGGGAAGACUCUGAUAAAUAAUUGUAGUGAAUACCUUUUUGUAAUAUCUUUAUGAAACCGGGUUGUUUUUGAAAAGUUUAAAUUGGUUGAAAUUUUUAGAGUGUUACAAGUUGGUAUCAGAGCCUUGGUUUGAGUGAAUUGGAGGAACAUUCGCGUGAAUCCAGUCUCAAAUCAAGGAGAGUUUUCAAAAGAGAAUUUAAAAUGGUUUUCAAAAUGAGUAAAGGAGGACGCGGAGGUACGGUCAGCGGAGCGAAUAAGUAACCCAAAAAUACCAUACAUGAUAUUUGUUUUUGAGCUAUGAUAGAACAACAUGCUAGUACUAGGCUAGGGAUCUUCAGGAUUUCAUGAUAAUGUUGCCUGAUUUAUGAUGCCUGCUAGCCUAGGGUUUCUUCUGUGGGAGAUUUCCAGUGUUCCUCUAGGAGUGAGGGUUGAGUG